AAUGGGCGAAGCCUGAUGCAGCGACGCCGCGUGAGGGAUGACGGCCUUCGGGUUGUAAACCUCUUUCAGCAGGGAAGAAGCGAGAGUGACGGUACCUGCAGAAGAAGCGCCGGCUAACUACGUGCCAGCAGCCGCGGUAAUACGUAGGGCGCAAGCGUUGUCCGGAAUUAUUGGGCGUAAAGAGCUCGUAGGCGGCUUGUCACGUCGGUUGUGAAAGCCCGGGGCUUAACCCCGGGUCUGCAGUCGAUACGGGCAGGCUAGAGUUCGGUAGGGGAGAUCGGAAUUCCUGGUGUAGCGGUGAAAUGCGCAGAUAUCAGGAGGAACACCGGUGGCGAAGGCGGAUCUCUGGGCCGAUACUGACGCUGAGGAGCGAAAGCGUGGGGAGCGAACAGGAUUAGAUACCCUGGUAGUCCACGCCGUAAACGGUGGGCACUAGGUGUGGGCAACAUUCCACGUUGUCCGUGCCGCAGCUAACGCAUUAAGUGCCCCGCCUGGGGAGUACGGCCGCAAGGCUAAAACUCAAAGGAAUUGACGGGGGCCCGCACAAGCGGCGGAGCAUGUGGCUUAAUUCGACGCAACGCGAAGAACCUUACCAAGGCUUGACAUACACCGGAAACGUCUGGAGACAGGCGCCCCCUUGUGGUCGGUGUACAGGUGGUGCAUGGCUGUCGUCAGCUCGUGUCGUGAGAUGUUGGGUUAAGUCCCGCAACGAGCGCAACCCUUGUCCCGUGUUGCCAGCAGGCCCUUGUGGUGCUGGGGACUCACGGGAGACCGCCGGGGUCAACUCGGAGGAAGGUGGGGACGACGUCAAGUCAUCAUGCCCCUUAUGUCUUGGGCUGCACACGUGCUACAUGGCCGGUACAAUGAGCUGCGAUACCGUGAGGUGGAGCGAAUCUCAAAAAGCCGUCUCAGUUCGGAUUGGGGUCUGCACUCGACCCAUGAAGUCGGAGUCGCUAGUAUCGCAAAUCAGCAUUGCUGCGGUGAAUACUUUCCCGGGCCUUGUACACACCGCCCGUCACGUCAGAAAGUCGGUACACCCUGAAGCCCGUGGUCCAACCCUUGUGGGAGGGAGCUGUGAAGGGGGACUGGCCAUCGGGACAAGUC
rnacentral:rRNA from 1 species